rnacentral:rRNA from 1 species
AAAACUUUCAACAACGGAUCUCUUGGUUCCGGCAUCGAUGAAGAACGCAGCGAAAUGCGAUAAUUAAUGUGAAUUGCAGAAUUCAGUGAAUCAUCGAGUCUUUGAACGCACAUUGCGCCCCCCUGGUAUUCCRGGGGGCAUUGCCAGUCCGAGCGCU